CGGAGUGGACGAACCUCUGGUGUUCCGGUUGUCACGCCAGUGGCAUUGCCGGGUAGCUAUGUUCGGAAAAGAUAACCGCUGAAAGCAUCUAAGCGGGAAACUUGCCUCAAGAUGAGAUCUCACUGGGAACUUGAUUCCCCUGAAGGGCCGUCGAAGACUACGACGUUGAUAGGCUGGGUGUGUAAGCGUUGUGAGGCGUUGAGCUAACCAGUACUAAUUGCCCGUGAGGCUUGACCAUAUAACACCCAAACA
rnacentral:rRNA from 1 species